rnacentral:lncRNA from 1 species
GGGUUGUCUAUGCUAUUAUUACCUAACCUUAACAAACUAGAUGUACAUGAUAGGAUGAAACUGUAGGGGUGCAAGGAGCUGGGGUUUUGUCCAAUCUGCUAAAGAUUCGGUUGCUAUUCAUCGUCCCCAUGUGAUGAUUAUUGCGGAAACCAAGGUUCGGACCUCAGAAAUGUCUUGAUCAACUUCCUUUUGAUUCUUGGAAGGACACCAAUACCUUGGGCUGAGAGGUGGCUUGCGGCUUCUGUGGAACUCAGCUACGGUCACGAUUGAGGAGCUUUGCAACACUGAACAAGAGAUCCAGGUUCUUGUUAAGAUACGGGGCUCUGGUAUUCGUUAGUUUUUUUUUUUCCUAUCUAUACUAACCUUAUUUAUUAUUUUAGAAAAUUAAUUUGGGAUAAUUUAAAAUGUGUUGCUCAUAACCAUAAUUUAUCCUAAUUGAUGUCGAGUGUGACUUUAAUAAAUUUUUAUCGAGUUAUGAUAAGAAAGGUGGAAGACCGAUCUCCCCACUAAAGUUAGAGUUUCAUGGCUGCUUGAACUGUUGUGAUAAAAUUGACUUCAGUUUUAAUGGUCAUUGCUUUACGUAGUCUAAUUUACGUCAUACUGAUCUAUAGAGGCCUAUUUUUAUUCAUACUAAUCUAUAGAGGCCUAUUUUUAUUCUGCCCAAACAAACCAAAUCAGAAACAAAAAAUAAUAAUAAAAAAAUCAUAAUAAUUUGUGUGGGAAACAUUUUAGAGCUCCUCAAAAACUCUUUAUAUUUCAAAAUACGUGGUUAGAUCAUCCAAAGUUUUGUCUUCUCCUUUGACACAACUUGGAAUGCUAGUAAUGAUGAUCUUUCCCAAAUCAUUGAUAAUUUCAAUAAAGUGGUUGAUAAUUAGAACUGUACGUCUUUUGAAAACGUCUUCUUCAAAAAGAAGAAACUUUUAGCCUGAUUCAAUGAAAUUGAGAAAGCUUUUAAACUUGACCCUAAUGAUUUUCUAGUUGAUCUUCAAGGACAACAUAUGUCUGAAUAUCAAGAUGUGCUUAAACGGGAGGAAGAUCUUUGGGUCAUGAAUUCUAGGGUUAACUACCACUCUUACGCUUAGAAGUUUUAAUAGAAUUGAGGGCAUCAACUAUGUUAAGGGACAGUGCGUGACGGAGCGAAUGAAAAUUUGUAACAUUAUUAUCUUUCUUUGAAAAUCUUUAUGACCAAUAAAAUGCAAAUAUCAUUACCACUUUUGGUUGGGUCUUGUUAUUGGGGGUGGAUAGAAGAACUUCGAAUGAACCUAUUAGAGGGGAAGAGAUUAAUAGAGCAGUUUUCUCCUCUUAACCCUUAUAAAGCCUCGGGACCGGAUGGACUUCAUCCCUUCUUUUUCCAAAAAUGUUGGGAAACGGUGAAGGAAAAAGUGUGUGAUAUGGUUAUUGAUGUGAUCAAAACCUGUAAGAUUCUUGAUGGCAUUAAUGAUACUCUCAUCACAUUUAUCCCUAAAAUCACUAACCUGAUUAUUGUGUCCCAAUUUCGUCCUAUAAGCCUUUACAAUACUUCGCACAAGAUCAUCACCAAAAUGGGGAUAUCUCAGUAAGUAGUGCUUGCCACCAAAUUGUUGGGACUCUUAGAUACACUGCCGGUUCGACUGACAUGAAUUGGAACUGACUAUGUAAAGCAAAUUUGCCUCCUAAACUGAAGUUUUUUAUAUGGGAAUGUGCCCACGAAGUGAUUCCAACCUCAGUUUUCCUUAGGAAAAGAGGAAUGGAGGUAGCGGAUAACUGCCCUCUUUGCUCGAUUUACCCUGAAACUGUCCACCAUUUAUUAAGGCACUAUCAUGAAACCCAUAACUGCCUGAAUGAUGCUACUGGUGCUCCCCCGUCUCAAUCUGUUGAAGCUCUUAGUUGGGCGGAAUGGCCUAAACAUAAUGUGGUUACUCAAGCCUUCCACAGAAAACAUAGGAUACCCAUGAAUGUGUCUUUUUCUAAUGUUUUUUAAACCAGAUCAGUGAUUGAACCGAUCAAGUCACUGAUUUGUCGGUUCGACCGAUCCAAUUAAAAAUUUUAAAAAAUUUUAAAAAAUCGGUUCAACCGGUGCCUGGUCUAACCAAUUCAAAGUCACUCUCCGGACCGCUACCCCAAUCGGUUCCCAGUCCGACCAGCUGAUUCAAACAACACUGGUUUUUUCUUUUCUUUUGCGGGAAAUAUGGCCGCACAGGAAUGGAAAAAAUCUCUAGGAACAGUUCCAGAAUUGAGGAAUCCCCAAGAGAGCUAUCUGCAAAGCGGGAGAGUACUUUGCGCUUGCCGGAAAAAUAAAAAAUAAGCCUUAUCCUCGCUUUAUACCAGUCAAGUGGCAGCCACCAUUGGCCGGUUAUGCUAAAUUAAAUACUGAUGGGUCUUCCAUUGAGAUCCCAGGGAAAGGAGGGGCUGAUACAAUCCUAAGAGACGAGAACAGGAAUUGGAUUAAAGGAUCGCACAUACACAUCCCCUCUUGUAAGAGUGUCGAAGUUGAGCUUUGGGUACUCAAAGAUGGUCUUAUUCUUGUUCAUCAACUCAUCCUACCUAGAUUGAAAAUUGAAGUUGAUGCUGAAAUUGUUGUUAAAAUUAUUAACGAUACUGAUUAUGGUAAUGUGUUUUUUACUCCGAGUACCUACUCUGAUAAGCAGGUCCAGAAAUAAACCUCCAAAAAUAUGAAAAAUUAAAAAAUUCUAACCAUACCCCCGUGACUCUUAUAUACCCAUAUUCAACACUCUAAAUAACAUAGGAUUCAAUAAACAGAAACGCAAGGCAUGUCGAAAACUGCCAUGAUCGAUCAAGCAAAUUAGCUUUACUAGUGAGUUUUAGAACCCACUCGGAAAAUGUAAAUACAGUCUUGACCAAAGUUACAUAGAACGAACAAAGAGGCAGGACAGGUCAAAAACUAAGCAACAUUACAAACCAAAAAGCCACCACAACUUACAAGAAAAAUUACAAUGACAAGGGUGAGAUUAAUUGGGCAAGCAAGUAUAUCACAAGUGCGGCAGGAAGGGCGGCAGCUGAAUUCAUCAAUGUCGAAGCAUUAGAUAAGCUUCCAAAAGGGGCACCUCCUGGGGGAAAUCCAGGAAGAGACCCUGUAGAUGGCACUGUAGAAGUCUUGGGCACUGUUGCGGUGGUGGCACCAUCUGACUGGGGUGCAGGUGCUGGGGCAAAAACUGAAUCCCGAGUUACAUAUGUAGGUGGGGCUACAAGGGGAGGAAAUUGCUGUGGUCCUGCAUUAUUUUGCGAAAUUCAGUUCAAAAUUUAGAUCGGUCAAGAAGCUUUCUAUGACUAUAUAGAAAUAUUUGUAAAUUCUAAAAGGUAUCACAAGUCUUGUCCCAGUAGCGGAAAUUUUUAUUUGUUUGAAAGAAGCAGCAACGGAAGUCAACAAUAUGCACCGGUGAAGGUAACAAAUGGAUUCAUAUCUAUUGUAUUCAAUUAGGGAAGUCCCCAAUCCCCUAAAAGAAAACAAUUUCUAGUAUUUAUGUGUUUUGGAAUCAUAACCUAUAAGAACAGUGAUUGUAUAAACUUCUUACCUGGACAUCGAGGUUGGAGAGAUGAUGACAACCUGCAGAACAAGGACAAGUUGAUAGGUUAAUUUAUUGGAGAAAACUCAAACAUAUGAAUCACUUUUCGCAUAACCGUCAACAAAAGUGGCUAAAAGUUGUAGCUUACGAAGUGAUAAUGGUGCCAUUUGCAUAACCACUAUAAGCACAAGAAGUGACAUUGCAUCCAGCACUACUUUGCUGCACUGUAACGUUCCCUAGCAUGAGAUUGCUGCUUUUACAUUGCAUGCUUGAACAAGAAACAGCCAAAGAAGCAGGCAUGCAGUACAAACUGUACGAAACAAUCGAUAAAGGUUAUAUUUAGGGGAAUGAAUCUCAAGCAGUAAAGACAACUAUAAUCGAAAACUAAUAAACAAAAAUGAAACAGCCCAAUUACUUGCGACUCCCCGGUCCACAGCUGCACUGAACACAAUGGCUAGCAGUAAUAGCAUAGCUCCCGUUUGGCACAAUCAAUCCAUGAUCCGAGGCAUAUUUAGGAAAAUUUGAAGCACAAGCUGAAAGUACCAAAAGAAAACAACGCUAAACCUCCAUUGCUCAUGGUAAACAGACAUAAACAAAGUAGAUACAUAAAAACACAACUCAAUUACCCAAAGCUAAAUAUAGAAACACGCAACCAUUGCCUUAGCUUGAACUAACAAUGCUAAAUCGCUGAAAAUCAUAAAGCAAAGGACUUUGUAGCAGUAAUAUAAAGCCUAAUCCUACUACAAAAGCAAGACAAACACUCAACUACCUGACAAAGGAACAGCUAAAAUGUCGCCAGGCGUAAUAGAAGUACCCCCCAUAGCAUUAACAUUCAUCAAAUCUGUUAUGGUAGUGGAGUAACUCGCUGCAAUUCCAGCUAAAGUAUCCACUGGCUUCACCACAUAUGAAAGGUAAAUAGCAGGGAGUCCAUUAUCAGUCCCAUUAAAACAAGUACACGGCAACGGAACAACAAGGUUUUGCCCAACAUCGAGAACCGAAGGAUCAUCAAUCGAGUUAGCCUCUCUAAUCUGGUCAGCUGACACCAAACCAGCGUAAAUAGAAUCCGCAAUAGACGAAAGCGUGUCCUGGGGUCGGGUCUUGUAGUGAGUGGAAACCGAUUUCCGAAUUCCAUCAACACAAGAACAUAGAAUGGGGAUCUUGACGAAGAGUUGGGAAGGAAGGAUGUGGUUUUCGACAUCCGGGUAAGAGAUAUCGAUGGCGUUGGCCGUGAGGACCGAAAUGGGGUCAACCUGGAAGAGGGAAGCAACCUCGGCGACUUUCAGGUCGGUGUAGAGAGUGUACCCCAACAAGGCAUUGCAUGAAUCAGAGUUGGAACAAGGCUCGAUUGUUGAUUUUGAAGCUACCAAAGCUACAUCGGUGAGAAGCACGAAGCAAAGGAGUUUGUAAAAGGAAAGGAAAUUGGGUUUUUGGUUUGGCAUUGUUAGGUGCAGGGGCUUGAGGAGUAUGGGAUUAUUUUUUCCUUGUUUCGCUUCAGUUAAAGGCAGGGAAAAACAAAAAAAUGGGGGGGGGGGGGAGGGGGGGAAAAUAUGACAAAAAGAGCUUUGGGUUCUUUGCUUUAGUAAGGGUUUUGGGUGUUAGAGAGAAUGGACUAAAAAAAAGGAGUCAAGAUUAAACAAACAAACAAAAAAAGAACCCUUUUCUUCUUUGCUUAUUAUGGUUCAAACUAAUGGACAAAUGUAGCGGCCAUUGAAGGUUUCUAAGGUUUAUCAGCUGGUUUUGCUCCUUCACUUUCACUAUAAUGUAGAAACUUCAACAGCAUAAAUAUGGCUGCUCUCAAGCUGGAAAAUGUUCAGUGUUUAGGGUUUGGGCUUAUUGUUAUCUUCUCUUUUAUUUUUUCAGGGAAAAAAAUGGACUAAAGCAGCAAAGAAGAAGAAAGAGCAGAGGAUGGGGGAGGUGAGGAAGGGAAAGCAAU